AUUUAUUUUCAUCAGAACACAUUUUAUUUGUAGUUAUCAUACUUUUCGAAAAGGUCAUGACUAGUGAGAUCGUUUUAUAAAUCAUUUCAUCAAAGUCAGUUGUAAAAAAAUUAAAGAAGUUACUUGAACUAAAGCAUCUAUAAUAUUACAAUAUACCGGUAGUAUAAUAGUAAUCAUAAUAAUCAUAAUCGCAAUGAUACUUCUAUAUGCCUUUAAACCUUGUUUUUAUAAUCAUAAAUCUUCCUCUUCCACACACACACACACACACACACACACACACACACACAGGCGUGCGCACACACACACGCACGCACACACAGUCCCACAACCCUCCUCAAUUAGGUUGCAAAGCUGGGCCCCCCCCAUUGUCCUCGUAACAUCAAUGGUUUCAGACGCACUACGAGACACAGAAAGAAGAAGGAAACAUGAACUGAAGAUACACGAGAGAACCUGGAAGCAGAGACCACCGCUGGAACAAUGGGGAACUGAUCCACAACUCAAACAGGAAAUGGGCUUCUGCAUAGAUCCACGGGGGGGGGGGGCAGAACCACGGGGAGGGCGGGUGGAGGAGGAGGUGGAGGAGGUGGAGGAGAACCUGCUUGUUCCACACCGGCUCCCCAGCGAGAGGCUUCACCCGUCGCUCACACAGGAGGGGAGAGGAGGCGGGACACAGGAAGUCCGGUUCUGCAGGGCUCUGCGAGACGUCACCCGGCAGGCUACCGGUCGGACGCCAGGUCUGACCCCUGACGCCGUCUCCUCCCUCAGCGGGAGAAGGAGAGGAGGGGGAGGGAGGAGGGAGCAGGCUGGGGGGGAGGAGGAAGGAGGGAGGAGGGAGCAGGCUGGGGGGGAGGAGGAAGGAGGAGGGAGCAGGCUGGAGAGGAGGAGGAGGAGGAGGAGGGAGCAGGCUGGAGAGGAGGAAGGAGGAGGAGGGAGCAGGCUGGAGAGGAGGAGGAGGAGGAGGAGGGCAGGCUGGAGAGGAGGAGGAAGGAGGAGGGAGCAGGCUGGAGAGGAGGAAGGAGGAGGAGGGAGCAGGCUGGAGAGGAGGAGGAAGGAGGAGGGAGCAGGCUGGAGAGGAGGAGGAAGGAGGAGGGAGCAGGCUGGGGGGAGCGUCAGGGAGCAGUGAAGGCUGUGGAGGCCCGCUGCCGGGCCGGUCAGCCUCACAUGGACCAGCGAGCCCCAGCGCUGGUCUGGGACGCAGCGCCGGGGCCAAGAGCCACGUUGGAGCGACACUGGAUGGGGGGGACACCAGCAUGCUGAACCUACUCUGCCCGUGGUGGGCACACUGCGCUGCAUGCAGUACAGGUGUGUGUGUUCACUGAGUGGGGGGGGGGGACAAGAGACCUCCAAUCCCUUACUGGGAUGGAGAGCUGGCCUGACGGUCCGGCUCUUGAUGGUCUGGUCUACUCCCAACAGUCGGGUUAUAUGUCUCAUCCAGACUGGUUCAAACCAGCUGGUAUUUAGGACACAGGUUGGGUAAGGGUUCAUAAACGUAUUGCGGACAAGCACGCUCUCCAUGUGCACACAAAAAUAUUGCAAUGAUUGCUUUUUAAAGUUAAAAAAUACAGUUUAGUUUUUAUAGUUCUGUUUGUCCUGAUUGUGGUUCUAUACUAGUCUCUCUCUCUCUCUCUCUCUCUCUCUCUCUCUCUCUCUCUCUCUCUCUCUCUCUCUCUCUCUCUCUCUCUCUCUCUCUCUCUCAU
ensembl:lncRNA